rfam:Triticum aestivum genome assembly, contig: Triticum_aestivum_CS42_TGACv1_scaffold_592682_7BS
UUACUACUCCCUUCGUUCGGAAAUACUUGUCGGAGGAACGGAUGUAUCUAGACGUAUUUUAGGUUUAGAUACAUCCAUUUUUACGCAAUUCUCCGACAAGUAUUUCAGGAUGGAGGGAGUACAUG